GGUGUAGCUCAGUGAUAGAGCACAUGCAUGCCUAGCAUGCAUGAAGCCUGGGUUCCAUCCUCAGCACC
rnacentral:tRNA from 1 species